AAAAUAAUUCCUCCGUCCUAAAAUUCUUGUCUUAGAUUUAUCUAGGUAUGAAUGUAUCUAGUCACGUUUUAAUAUUUAGAUACAUACAUUUCUAGACAAACCUAAGACAAGAAUUUUGGGACAGAGGGAGUAGUUA
rnacentral:pre_miRNA from 1 species